CUCUCUCCCCCCUCCAAAUCCAACAGCCGUGGGUUACUCUCGUUCUUCCCCCUCCAAAUCCAAGACCUAUGGAUGCAUAAUAGAGUAAAUAGCAAUUCCCAUCCACUCUAGUAACAGAAAAUGACAGCUUCUGUGAUUGUGGUGAAAAGUUUCCCCUAGUAAUGCUAAGUACAGCGAGGAAACCAGCAAGGAAACCAUAAAUUCUGUACACAUAUAGAUGCCAAAAACAAGCAGUGAAUUGCAUAAGAUAUUAGUGAAGAAUAAUUACCAGCCGUAAACUCAACUCCUCCGGUUGCUAGUGUACAAUAGAGCAAUAGGUUGUGUUUGGGGAUGUUAGAUGUCGAAAUAAUUGAGGCAAAAUUCUUUUAUGCAAUAGUUGGCUUGUGUUGACUUUUGAAAGGAAACUUAUUUUUGUGCUGUUAAUGUUACUUAUUUGUUAGUUUAUUUCUUAGGUUUUGUUGUUCGGGAUAUUAUGUAUUGGAUUUCAUUUUCUUUUGCCUCUGGUAUGGCCCCUAAUAGAACUUGACGUAAUUCUUUUUG
rnacentral:lncRNA from 1 species